GAUGAACGCUAGCGGCAGGCUUAAUACAUGCAAGUCGAACGGUAAGGUCUCUUCGGAGAUACACGAGUGGCGCACGGGUGCGUAACGCGUAUGCAACCUACCUUUAACUGGGAAAUAGCCCCGAGAAAUCGGGAUUAAUGUCCCAUAUUAUUUUCUGAAUGCAUAUUUGGAAAAUGAAAGCUUCGGCGGUUAAAGAUGGGCAUGCGUGACAUUAGCUAGUUGGUGAGGUAACGGCCCACCAAGGCGACGAUGUCUAGGGGUCCUGAGAGGGUUAACCCCCAAACUGGUACUGAGACACGGACCAGACUCCUACGGGAGGCAGCAGUAAGGGAUAUUGGGCAAUGGACGCAAGUCUGACCCAGCCAUGCCGCGUGAAGGAUGAAUGUCCUAUGGAUUGUAAACUUCUUUUGUGCAAGAAAAACCCCUCGGUUUCGUACCGGGGCUGAUUGUAUUGCACGAAUAAGCAUCGGCUAACUCUGUGCCAGCAGCCGCCGUAACAC
rnacentral:rRNA from 1 species